rnacentral:rRNA from 1 species
GGGACACGUGGUAUCCUGUCUGAAUAUGGGGGGACCAUCCUCCAAGGCUAAAUACUCCUGACUGACCGAUAGUGAACCAGUACCGUGAGGGAAAGGCGAAAAGAACCCCGGCGAGGGGAGUGAAAAAGAACCUGAAACCGUGUACGUACAAGCAGUGGGAGCCUCUUAAUGGGGUGACUGCGUACCUUUUGUAUAAUGGGUCAGCGACUUAUAUUCUGUAGCAAGGUUAACCGAAUAGGGGAGCCGAAGGGAAACCGAGUCUUAACUGGGCGUUAAGUUGCAGGGUAUAGACCCGAAACCCGGUGAUCUAGCCAUGGGCAGGUUGAAGGUUGGGUAACACUAACUGGAGGACCGAACCGACUAAUGUUGAAAAAUUAGCGGAUGACUUGUGGCUGGGGGUGAAAGGCCAAUCAAACCGGGAGAUAGCUGGUUCUCCCCGAAAGCUAUUUAGGUAGCGCCUCGUGAAUUCAUCUCCGGGGGUAGAGCACUGUUUCGGCAAGGGGGUCAUCCCGACUUACCAACCCGAUGCAAACUGCGAAUACCGGAGAAUGUUAUCACGGGAGACACACGGCGGGUGCUAACGUCCGUCGUGAAGAGGGAAACAACCCAGACCGCCAGCUAAGGUCCCAAAGUCAUGGUUAAGUGGGAAACGAUGUGGGAAGGCCCAGACAGCCAGGAUGUUGGCUUAGAAGCAGCCAUCAUUUAAAGAAAGCGUAAUAGCUCACUGGUCGAGUCGGCCUGCGCGGAAGAUGUAACGGGGCUAAACCAUGCACCGAAGCUGCGGCAGCGACACUAUGUGUUGUUGGGUAGGGGAGCGUUCUGUAAGCCUGUGAAGGUGUACUGUGAGGUAUGCUGGAGGUAUCAGAAGUGCGAAUGCUGACAUAAGUAACGAUAAAGCGGGUGAAAAGCCCGCUCGCCGGAAGACCAAGGGUUCCUGUCCAACGUUAAUCGGGGCAGGGUGAGUCGACCCCUAAGGCGAGGCCGAAAGGCGUAGUCGAUGGGAAACAGGUUAAUAUUCCUGUACUUGGUGUUACUGCGAAGGGGGGACGGAGAAGGCUAUGUUGGCCGGGCGACGGUUGUCCCGGUUUAAGCGUGUAGGCUGGUUUUCCAGGCAAAUCCGGAAAAUCAAGGCUGAGGCGUGAUGACGAGGCACUACGGUGCUGAAGCGACAAAUGCCCUGCUUCCAGGAAAAGCCUCUAAGCAUCAGGUAACAUCAAAUCGUACCCCAAACCGACACAGGUGGUCAGGUAGAGAAUACCAAGGCGCUUGAGAGAACUCGGGUGAAGGAACUAGGCAAAAUGGUGCCGUAACUUCGGGAGAAGGCACGCUGAUAUGUAGGUGAAGCGACUUGCUCGUGGAGCUGAAAUCAGUCGAAGAUACCAGCUGGCUGCAACUGUUUAUUAAAAACACAGCACUGUGCAAACACGAAAGUGGACGUAUACGGUGUGACGCCUGCCCGGUGCCGGAAGGUUAAUUGAUGGGGUUAGCGGUAACGCGAAGCUCUUGAUCGAAGCCCCGGUAAACGGCGGCCGUAACUAUAACGGUCCUAAGGUAGCGAAAUUCCUUGUCGGGUAAGUUCCGACCUGCACGAAUGGCGUAAUGAUGGCCAGGCUGUCUCCACCCGAGACUCAGUGAAAUUGAACUCGCUGUGAAGAUGCAGUGUACCCGCGGCAAGACGGAAAGACCCCGUGAACCUUUACUAUAGCUUGACACUGAACAUUGAGCCUUGAUGUGUAGGAUAGGUGGGAGGCUUUGAAGUGUGGACGCCAGUCUGCAUGGAGCCGACCUUGAAAUACCACCCUUUAAUGUUUGAUGUUCUAACGUGGGCCCCUUACCGGGGUUGCGGACAGUGUCUGGUGGGUAGUUUGACUGGGGCGGUCUCCUCCUAAAGAGUAACGGAGGAGCACGAAGGUUGGCUAAUCCUGGUCGGACAUCAGGAGGUUAGUGCAAUGGCAUAAGCCAGCUUGACUGCGAGCGUGACG